rnacentral:tRNA from 1 species
GAGGGUAUAGUUCAGUGGUAGAGUGCAUACCUAGCAUGUGCAGGGUCCUGGGUUCAAGCCCCAGUACCUCCA